GUGGUAUAGUGCACAUUGUGCUAUACACAUUAAAUGCAUGCAGGUUCAUGUAUGCAUGCAUGUAUAUUCACAAGAAUUAGUUGCCCAUAAGCUAAAUUUAAACACUAAUUUAUUUUAAUUACAGACAGGGUGAAAAUGUAAAAUAUAGAGAAACUGGUUAGUAUACAGACCAAAUAAAAAGUGCAUUUAUUCCCACCUUUCUUCAAGGAACAUACAUAUCUGCUAUAUGUGGCAGCACAUCCUUACCCUUAUUGGGGUAUAUUGGAAAUAACCAAGUUGGUUGAAUGUGACUGACCAGAAGAUUUAUAAAGAAUUUUGUGCUCUUCUCUCUUGUUCCAUUAUUCUGACAGAAGGGUGACAAAAAUUAAGGGAUGUUUGGAAAAAAACUGAAGAACAUGGUCAUACAUAUGUUCUAGUAAAAGAAUGAUAAACUUUUCUAUUUUAUUAGUGAUUUGAAUAUGCCUGAAGUGGAUAGAUAUGAAAUUGUUAAGUCUCAUGAUUUGACAGCAUAUUGAUUAUGGACACUGGGACAUUCUGCAGUAUUUGCCUCCAAGUUCCUUUCUUCAGUUCCCUGAUUACCAUCUACAGAAAGAUAGUUUGUUUCCAGUUCCAGCAACAAGCUUUUUUUCCACCAAUAAUCAAAAAUAUUUGAGCCAUAGUACAAGCAGAAAUAUAUCUUUACCAGGCAAGGAUUCAAAACUUUGCAGCAACUGAUAUGAGGUUCCACUGCAUCCAUAAUAUGAGAG